GGUGGUGCUCGGGUGACGCACCUCGGAAUUGGGCUCCCUCCUCUCUGGUUCUGGGUGUGUCACCCUAGAACCGCA
rfam:Myotis brandtii contig273767, whole genome shotgun sequence.